GCUGCCUGCGCCUCAGGAGCAGGGGCAGUGCUACCAGACCUGCCUCCUGCCGGCGGCCUGGGCACAGCUUGCUGCCCCCCGGAUCACACAGGCACCCCUUCGCGAGGGGUGGGGAGGGAAGGGGCCUCUGAAGGGCCCCUGGUCAAAGUGUUGCUCGAGCUGACUGCCCAGCACCACCAGCGCUGGGCACCCCAGUGGCACAGUCAGAUGAGGGUGUAGGCCCUCAAUGGUGCCGUUUGCUGCCCUGUUUUGGGUUACCCUCUGACAGCCAGAGAAAUCAAAGGGAUCAGUUUGCAUCUGGCUGGCUUUGUGGCAUAGUUUUUAUGGCCAGAAUUAACAUUUUCUGAUUGUGUCCUGCUGGCAUAAUUUUACUAAGCAUAGAGGUUGGGAACAUUAUGGUUCCGAGGCCAAGUGUCAAUGUUCUCCGUUGUAGGCAAAUGGGUGUAAUGGUUUUCAGGUGCAACCUCCUUAUGUUUUCUUGCCCUUGGCAUAAUCUGCUCCCUAUGGCCAUAGGUAAACUGAAAAUCCUUCUUCCAUCUUUUAUAUAGAGUCUACAAACAUAGAAUUUUUGUAUUCUGUACACAGACGUCCCUCUUUUACCGCUGCUGCACACAUUUAAAUGUAAGUCUCCAGCAUAACAUUUGCACUGUCCUGCAUAUAUGAUUUCUUCCCCUCUAAAGUGUCAGAAAUAAUUCCUCCACCUCAGGAACACAGGCAUAUUACACAGCUCUGGACUUUUCAGCUUGACAAAAGUAAUCUCCAUGCUUAUCCAAAUGUUUCAGAGCUCUGUCAGCAAACAAAGAGUAAUCUCCACAGCCCCCACCUUCCAGCCCCAAGGCAUUAAGUUACAUCUGUAUCUAAAGUAGCAAAGCAUUAGCAUCAACAUAUUUACAGGGCAUUCAUUGGAUCUCCCUCCAGCCGUUUGCAAACUUCCAUUUGAAGCAUUGUCCCUGUGGCUUGGACCAAGGAGUGGGUAACUGCUCGGGGGACACCUGCACCCCUGAAAAAGGAGGACAUGUUCUCUCUUUUCUGUCUGCCCCCAGGCCUGUGACACACCACUAGUGCAGGAGGGCUGGGCAGGGCCUGAAAUCCUAAACUGUCAGGAAGUUGCACUGCUGGCUUAUCCGUGGCUACCAGAUAUCUUAAAGUGAGCAGUUUAUGAUGCAGAACUCCAAAAUUGUAAGUAAUUACAUGUAAUAUGUUAAUCUGGAUGAGGAAUUUUGCAGUACCCAUAAUUAAAGAGAGUGAUAGAAUGCUAAAGACUAACCUCUGACAGGGAAGCCUGCUACUGGAACCUGCGGAACCCAGUGGUGAUCUGUCUCCUAUGCACUUCAAAAACAAUGACAGAAAGGCUACAGAUUCUUGUCAUGAAAUCUUGCGCUACAAAAGUGCUUCCUGCAGCACACACUGCACUAACAAAAAUCACAUUUGUCAGUGCUUUGGAAUGGGAAUUAGCACUACAGUUACCAGAAAGAAAGCAAUUGAGUAUGCAAGAACACUGUAUUUGAAUAAACCACCAAGAAAAAAAGCAGUCUUCAGAAAUACCAAAGAUUCACCUAAAUAGUCUCUUUUAGAAGCAAAAGAAGUGCUUUAGAAGACUUCAUAAAAAAUGCCUCAUGGCAAGCUGACUUUGUGAUUCAAAUCAAUGCAGAGGAGACUCAAUUACUGGUAAGCUAAGCUGAGCCCCAGUUUGUUUUGACUUGUCUUGGGGUUCAGCAUGUUGUCUGUGUGGACACCCCAACUCCUGGAAUUGGAGGGUGAGCUAGAAUAAACAACUGUGGGUUUCGGUCCCAAAAAUGGAAGAUGAACCCUACUGCAUGCUGUGGAUGGUAAAUGUGCUCCCUGAGGUGAGGCUGAGGUAAGCAGUGGCUAAAACUCUAAAGUAGAAACGUCAAAUCUGUUAAAUACUUUUGCUGUCUGUGAACAGUGUAUGUGACAUGAUGGCUUAUGAUGCAAAUGUGACAAUCCCACCUGCACCAUCGAAUUCCUGUGCCCUCACCCCAAACAUGGGCUGCAUCUGGGCUGCUCACUGUGGGUGAUAUCCAUCCUGUGACAUCUCCUGCAUCAGCUGAAGGGGCCCUCCAAAAUUUCCCAAGGCAAGGAGAGCCCUGGCUACUGCCUACUUCACUUGCAUAGAGAUACACACAGUAUGCUGCUCUGAAAAUGCAGUGUGCUUCACCUUUGCAGGUGAUGGCAGAGAGCACACAGGCACCUAGCACUGAGCAGCCAAACCAUCCUCACUCACUUGUCAGGUCCCUCAGAGACAUACCCAGGAGUGGGAGUGCAGUGUGCAAGGCACUGUUACAGCCUCAUAACUCUCCUGCCCUUGAGCCCUGAGCCUCUUGCGAGUCCAGCACAAAGAGAAAAUGCUCAUCUCAACAUUUACAAGGAAGCAAACCAAAUGCCUUCAACUUUUUAAUGCACUUCAGCUUGGCCUUGUUAGUUGUGUGGUGCUGACAUAAGGCACGUUUCUACAAAAAAAUGUAAUUUAAAAAAAAACAAUAACCCUAUCCUAAUUAGUCUUCUUACAUUUAUUAAAGCCACUUUCUGAAUAAAUCGCAUUUUAAGUGUGACAGAAUGUCAGACUUUGGGUGAAAAACUUUAAAUGAACCAAAUACCUUGGAAAACUCAGUGAUGACUUUUAUGAGUCUUUGGGAAUAAAAACGACUAAAACCUUUUUCCCUCUGCUAUAAGCCAAAGUUCAAAAACUGGAGAAGGUCACUUUUAAACAGACACAUUCCACCCAAUCAUCGUUUAGGUGAAACAAAAUGUGCAAGUCAUUGUAGAUUUAUGCAGUAGCCACCAAUGAAAUUCUAUUCGAUAUAAAUCAAUGAAAUUGGAUCUAUUCAGAUUGAUGGGGAUAGGGGUCAGGGAAGCAUGCCCAUUCCUCAGCAGUCAAAGUGACAGAUUGUGUAGGUUUUCCACAAAUCUGAGGUGGUUUCUUAAUUAGAAACAUAAAGGAAGCGGAUAUACAAAUCCCACUGGUAUCCGGUGGAAAUGAGAGGAGAAUGCCAAAUGAUAAACCAAUAUUUAUAGGGGAUUGUUUCCAAGAAUUUAUUACAUUGUUUUUCCACUUAAUUACCCUGAACUGAUCCUAUAGAAAUACUAUAAAAUAUAUAAAUGUGCUCUUCUUUUAACAAAAUACCAAAGUCCUGUUUAAAAUGAGCUAAUUAGUCUUACUAAAUACAUUUGAGAUCUGCUGUGAAAUCCCAAGGCUUAGUCUGCUCACAGCAUAAUCACCUUAGCUGACAUCUCUCAAUGGAAAAAUCUAACCUUUAUGGGGCACUGGGAAAGAUGAUCUCAUAUAUUAUUCCAACAUCUACAAAUCUCUAAGGCAACUGGUUCCAUUUUUAGCAUAAAAUCAUACAUGUUGGAUGAUUUGUGGGGUUCAUUAUUUGCACUGAAGAAAUUAAUUGUGUGUUUUGCAAAAGAAGGAAGCAAACAGCAAGAAAACUGUUUGCCACAAAAAUCACCUUGGCCUGGCUUUUUUAAGUAACUUUUUCUAAAAGAAAUUUUUUGGGGAGACUGGCUUGAGAUUUUUUUUCCUAUCAGUAUUCAGAAUUAAACAUGGGCAAGUAUGUACCAUUUCCUCUCAGUCAUAUCCUUAAACCAGAUUCUCUUUUGAUUUCAACUUUAAAAAAUACAUCUUGGGAAAUUGCUGGAAUCAACACCUACUUUGAAAUCAGAAAUAGUAGUGAGGUGCUACUAUUCCAGAUGAACAAAAGUAACAGUACAUAUGAAAACAGGCAAACACUGUGAGGCAGCAGAAGAUAGAGUAUAUUUCCUGCAGAAUGAAGUAGGGUCAGAUAUUUUUCCAAGUACUAUUAUUUUAAAAAAUAAUAUGUUCUACAAUAACACCUAAGAGUUUAUUACUAGACCUGUCUCAUUAAAAUAAAAUACCACCCUUCCUCCAGAAGAAUUUAUACCCAAAUUCAGAAAAAACAUUGAGCUUCAUAUGUCCUAUUAAAAUUCAUAGGUUUGACAAGCUUAAACAUAUUUGCAAACCUCAUCUUUUGAAUUGAAUUUAAAACAAAAGACAAUGGCUUGAUAUAGAUCAGCAAGGUAGCAUAAUAUGAGGUAUCGGUAGUUGGUGACACCUCACAUUUGUCUAGUUUUCCAUAGGCAGCAGGUAAAAUGGAGAUCAGCAUAUGGCUGUAAAGAAUGGGGAUGUGGAUAGAGCCCUGCCCAUGCUGCAGGACAGCAAGUGAGAGAGCUUGGCAGUAUCUGUCUGAAAAUCUGCCACGUGGGUAAUGGAAGCUGGAGUUGAUCCUUUAUACUGAAGGAUGGGCAGGAUGAAAAUUAGGUUUUGAAAGGUUUUAAGAACUGAGAGAAAGGAGCUUCUUUUUGAAGCAAUAGAGAGAAGUGUCACGGUCAAAGCAACAAACCGGAAGGAUGACCCAUGCAGCAAUAUGCUUGAUGGAAGCAAAGGGCAAGGCUACAUUUAUCAUACCUCGAAAAAGUGUGCAGAGAAAUCAAGUCUUGAGCCCAUGAAAGCUACAGGGCAAGCUUUAGCCAUGCACUUUGAUAGGAAGGGUCUUGGAGAGGAUGGGCAGUCUUCAACCCUUUUUUCUCUUUGAAAACUCACCCCUCUUUCCAGGUGUGAAACCUCUGAAAGAUGUGGAGAUGUGGGGAGGUGAUACAUCAGUUAGGUGGGGUGACAGCCAUGAGGUACUGCUGCCUGCAAAAGUGAUGAUGCAGGGAAGUCUCAGAGUGUGGGAGGCUGCUUCCUGGUAGAAAGGGGACAAGAUACCUCAGCUACCUACAGAGUCUCAGUGAACAGAACCAGGCUGCCACCAGAGAACUAUUUCCCCAGAUGCACAUUUUUCUGUUGCUAUUUUAUUGCAUAAAAUGUGCAAUAAAAGGAGUGUUUUCUGGCUUUGCACAGCACAGCUCAUGUCAAUGCAGCUGUACUCUGCCCCUCUCUCCUCCAAGAGGGUGCUCUCAUCCUGCUCUUGGAACAGUUCCUUGGCUGACCUCUUUGGAGAAAUGAUGGUUAUCAUGGCCCAAAUCAUGCUAGAAAGUGUGCUACCAGUUACACAGUAUCACUGCACAGCAGUGCCAUGUUUUGUUUAGGUUACUAGGAGUCGUUCAGACUAAUUUAGUUUACCAGACUAGUGCUACUUUGCUAGAGCCAACCUGAAAGCUUCCCUAUGGCUGGGGAGAGUGGAGACCAUGGAAGGAAACAUGUAGAGGGAAGACUUUGCAAAACAAAGCUUCUGAACAAAUCCCAAAUUUAACUAACUCACAUAAUGUCAAGAAAGGCCUCCCCCAUGGCAUAUGUGCUACUGGUUGGAAAAAUCCUGCAAGGGCCAAAUUUCUGGGUUAAGCUGUGGGCCUGGCUUUCCACCCACUGCAGGCCGUGGGGCUGACCAGAUCCUUUUAACGUGUUCUAUAACACUUCCUACAUAUUGAUCAAACACCUUAGUACUCGGGAGAAACGUGAAAGCCCAUCACCCAUUUUACUGGGCAAAUUAGGGCCAGAUUGUUCCACAAAGCUGUAUGCUCAUUGCAAAAGUCCCACCUUAAAGCUCUCCUGAUGAUUAGUAUUUAUUAUCUGCACCACAGUACAGCCUAUGCACCCCAAGCCUCAGUGUAUGAGGUGCUAUAUACAAAACCAGCACAGAAAGAUGUUCCCAUGCUGCAAUGAGCUUAUUCCGAUCUGGCUGCUUAGCAAUAUUGAAAUGUUUUGUUGAAUAUUAAGAUUGAAUAAACAGACAAGGUAUGUGGCAUGUACUCAAAUAUUUUUUAAUGAAAAUUUCUGACCCAAAUGACCCUUGAAAGGUAGAAGCUGUCAUUCCAAGAAAUACAUAGGGGGAGACGUCAUCUUUUACAGUGCAGAAUCUGACACACUUUCAAAAUGCUGGCACCAAAGAGAGACCUGGGGACAAUUUUUGGUGUAAAAAUUAAGGAAAAGUGCCUAAAUGCUGGAAGAAACAGGAAAGUUUACACCUUUUUGAGAAUUUAAACUAAUCUAUGGUGCUUCAGGGAAUUUUCCUUUAGAGUAAGUAUUGUGUCUUCUAUGGUGCUCUAGAGUACCUACAGCAGGGAAUACCACUUUUGAGAAGCAAAAUAAGCCUCAUGACACAAAUCCUACUCACCGCACUUAAGCAAACAUUCUUCAUAUUGAAUCCAAUAGGACAACUUAUUGAAAAGUAGAGAAGAGAAUUUGGUCCAUUAUGUGGCUAUCAGAUUUAAAUUACACCAAUAACUGAGACUCAUGGGGUAUCAGUGACAGGAAUACUGGACCCAGAGUGUAUGAUUACUCAAUUACUCCAAUGUCUGUUGGAUGCUUAAAGGCUAAAACAAUUUUGGGUUCCUUCCAGUCAGCGCAUAUCACUGUCAGCUCUUCAGACAGUUUACCUUUCCCAAGAAGCUUUUGCUUACCUUAUCACCUUCCCAGAUCUGCUGCCUGCAUUCUCCAAUUACUGCACUUAACUGUUACAUAUACUUUACACUUCAUCUUUAUCUGUUCCAUUUUGGUGAUGUGAUAUUAGGCAAACAUCUUAAACUUACAGCACUGGGCUUUAAGUCACUGACAUCUUAGAUUUAUUUUCCCCAAAGCUUUCAGUUUUAGCAGGAGCUCAGAUGGAACACUGAGAAAGUGGAGCAGGGAGCCAUAGAUACAAAUGUGAAAGCAGUGCAAGGCAAAAAGGGGCAAAAAUCUUCAGUACUCUGGAGUUCUGACUCAUGAAGGAGAUCAAAAAUUGAAAGUUGAAAAGGCAGCUGAAACAUAAGAUAAUUCGAAUCAAAAAGAAGAAAUGUGUGAAGCAAGGGUUCUAAUUAAUGUAAGUUAAAAGAAUCUAUAAAAGAUAAUACAUUAGCUGGCAAUAUUUAUUAUUACUAUUGUUAUUUCUAUUUAAAAAUCUUAAAGGAAAGUACCUAUUCACAGAGUGAAAUAGAAAUAUCAGUUUCCUCCAUUAAACACUUUUAUCUGAUUUAGGUUUACCCUGCAGUACCACUACUUGAAAUGCAAUGCAUCAUUCAGGGAAAUAACAGCCAAGACAUAGAGUGCUCAUAAAAGGGAUAUGCUUAAUACUUAAUAUCAAAAUCAAAUGGGUUUGUUCGUUCUAAUUUGCCCCAUGGGUCUUACACUUGCUUCUGUGUGCUGAUAAAAUGAAUCCAUAACCAAGUGGCCUCUGCUUCCAUCGAUUACACAUUUUGAGCACCAGUCAUCACUUUUUACAAGUUCUCACUAAUAUUUUCCUUGGUAUUUUGUUUCUCUGAACUCUUUUCUGCUCCAAAACUAAAGAAACAGUUUUGUAAUGCAAAUAAAAAAAUUCAGCAAAGACAAAUGAGAUAAAUUUAUCACAGUUGAUAUAUACAGAAAACUCAUACACCAAAGAAGGGAAAUACUAAGAAAAUCAGCAGUGACUACAAAAUAACCAAACUAUUAAACUGCUUUUCUAUUUUUUUCAUAUUAAAAUACUGUUGUAACAUGAGAUCAUAAUGGAUACAUUGAAAAUACUGUUUAAAGAAAGUGGGGUUUGCCACAUUACUUCAGAAUAUUUCUUAUCCUUACAUUUCCAGGGCAAGGGCUGAGGCCUACAAAGCACACAAAACCCACAAAGGAGGGCUCGAAACCUAAAUACCUCUUCAGAGCCAGGCUACAGUCAGAACCAGGGUUCUGAAAGAAACUUUACAGGCACUGAAGGCUCAGAUUUAAAACCAUCAUUGGGUUACUGACAUCUUCUUCAGGGAAGCACUUAAGCAUUCACUUGACCACAAGCAAAUGCUUAAACAGCGCUGACUCAAAAACUUGAGAAACUUUCUUUCUUGAGAGGGUACCAUUGGCACUGCUGGUUACUUAACAGCUCUGUAAAUAAGAUUUUUGCUGGAGGUGACCCUAUUUAAAAUUAAAGGCAUAAAAUUUUAAAAUAUCAGUUCCAAGUCACACAUACAUACCCAACCCAUCUGUACAUAAACCAAAAUCAUAUAAAUUCAUGGACUGCCUUUCCCAAUAAGGCCGUAUAAGCACACUCCAUUAUUCACAAUUUAAGAAAAAAACCCUCUUUAGAUAAUUAUGAUAAUCACUGAUUUGAACUUUGCAUAAUUCAGAGCUAGUAACCCAAAACUGCCUCGAAUUAGAAAAAAAAAAUGGAUGUGGUAGCAGUUAACAUUAAGGUGGAAUUCUUCUGAUUGAACUAUAUAUCUGGUAGUGUUUCAGAUAAUUAAACUGAGCUCUAAGUAAUAUGAAAGGGUACAGUUAUGGUCAGUUUUUUAUCUUCUAGCACUGCAGGGCUGUUGGGACUUGAAAAUUAUACACAGGCAGGUUUGGAAUGGGUCCAAGGUAGACCACACCGGACUAAGUAACAUCUGGUGUAUACAGCUUAGGUUUUUUAAGAGUGUGUCUGGACAGCUGUAAAAUAGAAAUGACAUAUGUCUCUGACUAAAGGCUGUACGUAAAGCUGGCAGUGAGUUAACUGUAUGUUACUUGGAAAGGUACUGUUCUCAUCUCAAAGCUGGGUACAACCAUCCUGGAACAUGUGCAAAGACAUUCCAGUUACUCUGUAAAGAAUUUAUUUUACAUCAAGCGAAUGAGAAAUACUUGUAAAACCUUCAUCUUUGACUAACAAUUCCACUCUCUCUUUCAUGUUUAACAAGUUGAAAAUAAAACAAACACUUCUAAGACCUUGGUCCAGCCCCAGGACGUUACCAACACAGACAAUAUAUAGAUGACUAAGAAACUGUUAACAUGGUAUGAAGUGCUCCACAAAGCACCUUAGUGAUGCAGUGCCUUGAGAGUUACUGUAACGAUACUGUAUAGGCAGGAAAGAGCAUCUGACCUGGCACAAGGAAAAUUCCCUAAAGAGGCUUCUCCAUUUAAAAAGAGGUGGAAGGAAGAAAAGAGAUGCACUAGGAAAUUAAAGAAUUACUGUGUUUGAGCACAAGUGAGGAUUUUUUUUUUUAGAGAAACAACAAAAUGGCAUUUCAUGAUUUUAACAAAAACACCGAAAACCAUUUUUCUAUUAUUUGACAAGCACAUUUUUGUUGGGGAACAAAAAAAAGAUUUGGGCAGAAAAAAACUGAUCUUUGGUGAAACAAGUAAAAGGCAGAAAAGCAAUUCUAUCACUAAAAUCAUAGACUCUUUUUAACAUAAGUUGUAUACUUGGGUCAUUUCAGAUGUAUAUACAGUCAGUUUUACCAUUCCUCAAGGAUUGUUGCUCCUGGGAGUGACUACAAGACAUAUGCAGUGGGAAGGGACAGCCUACACCUCAGUUUUCCAAGGUAACUUCCACCUCACAGUACGUAUGCUGAAACCUCAGACCUCACGACCAAGUGGUAGAUUGGGUUUGGUUUUUAGUAGAAGCAGUUGAAAUGCCUAUUGAUCAAAUUUGUCUUGUCCGUACCAGGAUGGGAACCCUGUCUGCUUUGGAGUGACAGCAAGAGCAUUGCUGGUCUUUGACUGAGGAGCGUUCACUCCACCAAAUUUCAGCAUUUCAUCAUUUUGUUGCUCUGACUCAAAGUAUGAACACAGUGUGGGAUUAGGCUCUCAAGGACGGAGAGGUAGGGCAAUGUGGCCCACACUGACCACUCUGCUUCUUCAUUUGUAGGGAAAGGAAAAGAGGAGAGUUUCCUCUUAAUUAGAAUCACCAUGAAAAAGAUGUUUUUUCUUUAUAAUUACUCUCAUAGCUGACCUAAAUGAAUGCUUGAGACAGUAAGAAUAAUAUAUUAUUAUAUAUAAAUAAAUAAAUAAUGAGUGAGAUGGUGAUGCCCCUGGGGAGCUUCUGCUGAGAGCAAACCUCUUCUGCUAAUUUGGGUCCCCAGCUAAGUUCCAGCUGUGGUAACUAAGUCCAGUCAAUAGUUCAGUUACAACUGGGUUACAUAUUUGUAACAUGAUAAGACAUUAUUAGUCCUUGAGACUAUAAGAUCUGAAUCCUUUUUCUUCUUCUUUGUAUGUAAUACAAUACAUUUUUUCCAAAGGAAUGACUGCAUGCUGUCCUCUGUUGCAGCCUCCCACCCAGCAUGGCGAAAUGCUGGGCUGGGCAGGCUGGUCACACCCCAUGAGGGCAGCUGCACACCAGCAACCUCAGCUGUCACUCCUGGCUGGCUGGAAGCUACUUUAUGAAGGUUUGUGAUGUGUUGUUUUCAUAAAGAGUCAUACUGUAAAACUCUGAGAGACACCCCAGGACAAAGCACCUGCAAAACUCACUUAUUCCAGAAAUAUUUUUUUCAUUUAACAGCAUCUGAAACCAUUAAGUCAGAAAAUAAUAGUGUUCCUGAAAGGAAAAAAAAAAUAAGCCAAGCCAUUUUCCUUCCAAAGUCUGAAACAUAAUUCCUAGGCUGUGAGUAUCGCCAGUUUUUAUCCCGCAAUUACAUUUUUGCUCGUUUUAAAUCUAAAUUUAAUGCAAACUGCAACUGAGACUUUACGGCAUAUCAGCUCCAUAUUUAAAACUCAGUCACUAAUUCCAAUAUGACAGAUUUCUUACAAUAGGCAAAAUGGACCUUUAAAAGCAAUGGUUUAUAUUAAAAAAGGGCUUAAAGGGCUAAGGAACUCUUUGCAAUAGGAAUGUUCAUUGCGAAGGUAAAGCAGAGAGAAGUUAAAAUGCAAGAGUUAGAUAUAGUGUGAUUUUGUCUUCAGAGUAGAAGAUUUCCUAUGGAAACAUGCCACUGCCCAGCAAAACAUUUCAAGAGACCAAGGUAAAGUCCGAACAAAAUUUUACUAUGAAGAAACGAAAUCUGGUAACAGGUCUAGUAGAUGCUGAAAUGACAACUGGGCAGUGCUGCCUUAGAACCACCAAGAGAUAAAAAAUUGCAGAGAGGUGAAGGACUGAAAGCAUGAAAGACUGGGCACAAAAAACUUUCUGUUCAACAGUGUCACUUCAAGUUUUCAUCUCAAAACUCUGCCUCACUGGAAGCCAUAUAUGAAGCCAAACUUUAUAAAAUGGUUUGCAGCCAUUUGGUGUGGGAGUUAUUAACACCAUAGCCAUGCAGCAUGCUGAGCAACAGGUUAUUUGCUGGCAUUAUACUCUUGGUUCACCAUCUUGAACUGUGCACUUAUGCUGGAUACUCUAAAAUCAGUCUCAGACCAAAGUAUUUCAGCAGAGAUAGCAGCAUCCACCAUACCUCAGAGCUGCCCAUCUGCCUGUUUCUACAGUGCCAAUGCCAUAAAUGGCUUCCCUCCAAGCUUCCUUGGUGAUGGCAACUAAUUUGAGGGGGAAAAUUAAUCCCAUAUAAACCAUCUAAAAGAAGGUCAUGCUUUAAAAUAAUAACAGCUUAUUAUUUCACUACUUUUUCACUUUUACAUGGAAUACACUAUUACGUGCAAAUUUCUCACAGCUUUUCUUCUGCAUCUGAAAAUAUUCUUCCUAAUUUGAAAUAUAGAGAGCAUAAAGGAGGUCCAGCCACAAAGCGAAAUUCAGAUAAGCUUCUAAGUAACACCAGAGACAGGGGUGGCUACACACUGACCUGUAAUUCAGUAACAGCUUGAUCAAUUUUCAUAAGGUCCAAAUACCUAGAAGGUCAAGAAAAAGGCAAACAUAUUUUCUAUAAUAAAUUUUGGAAGGAGUAAAAAUAAUGACAUAAACCCGCAUCCCUGGGUGACCUAUAGGUGGAUUCACUCAGGAGCUAUACGAUGCAGCUGUGGGCUACUGGAGGGAAAGCCAGCACUCCUCUACAGCGUAGGUCCAAGGCAUGCCUGGACCCACUUAUUCACCUGAACUUGCCUCACAUCCUUGAUGGGUGUACACAAACUAGAAGGCAACUUUUUUUUUUUUUUUGUGACUGAAGGUCAGGAGCAAAACCCCGGGGUCUCAGCAAUGUGGGCCAAAGCAUACACCACAUGUACCCACUGCACAUGGAAACAGUGUUACAGAUAGGCAGGCGUCCCAUGCUUCCAGGAACCCUUCAUUUGCUGUCCAUGGUAAGACAUGUUUUAGAUCAUAUCUCUAACCAGCUUGCAUGGAGAAAAUGUUUCCGUGUCUUAGUAUUUUUCUAGUUUCUUCCUUGCAGUGCUCAUCUCAGUGCUGCCAUUGCUCUGCCUGACCACACCUUGGCUCCUCUUUACGUCCCACAAAGGAGAAGGCCAAACACGUCCCUCCAGAGCAGCAAAGGGCAGGGUCCCUGUCAUUACAGAUUUGCUCCUUCCCAAAAGACAGGAAUGGCUGUUGCUACUCCCUACAGGAAGGAUUGUAACUUUACCUGCAGAAAGUUACACAUAACAAGUCACAGCUGAACCACAGCUACGGCUCCAGCACAUACCUUCAGCCACCCUACCUGCUUAACCAAGACCUGUUUCAAGUCAACAUAAACUGAGCUGAAACCCAGGCGAUAGUUUACCCGAUGCAAUUAGAGCAGAUUAGGUUUAAUUUCCCAUUUAGCUUACCAAGGUGAGUGGUCAGCACCACCAAUACAGCCCCCUCCACUCAUGAAGGAAGCACCUUGCUGCUGAUUCUUUUCCCAGCUGUGGUUGGUGAUUUUCUUGGCUGACCUGGCUGCUAUAUGAAAAAUCUGAUCAGAUUACCAGGGUAGCUAAUGUCCUUACUCAAAAUCUGUACUGACAGUGGUUAAUAACUCCAUUUAAAUAGCAGCCUUGCACAUGAGUUUGCAAAAAGCUUUUCCUCUCUGCAAACUUGAAUACCAUGUUUUCAAACUAGGUACAUGGAAAAAUCAUGCAGCAGGUGACACAAUGAGAACCCAGCAACAUCUCUGACUGACUUUUGCAGAAAGACUUUCCUUAGAAUUGAAGCUUGCUACUCAAUUCCUGCUAAAGCAAUAUUCCCAAUAAAAAAGCACAGGACAGGAGGAGGAAGGUAAUACAACACCAGAAAUAACACAUUGUAGAAGUUUAUGGUUGCAGCAAUAAUUAUACAACAUUCACAAAGAAGGGAUGAGGCUUAGCCUAGUUUCAGCCUAAAAAGCAUUAGGCCUUUGCUACACUCCUGUUGAACCCCUCCAGUUCCCCCUCAAUCCUCUGAGAUACCAUAGGCAGUCACAGAGAAACAUCUCCAGCCCAGUGUGCAGUGUAAGGGCCACCACAUGUUCCACAUACUCUGCCAGGCCCCUCUGGGACAUGUUACCCAUUGGGUUUGCUUUUGAGUGUAGCAGAAGGCUGGCAGUCAAAAGUAUUCUGGGUCUCUGAGCUUCACGAGUGCAUGUGGGAUUUGUCCAGCAGACAAAAACCUUCUGUACAACCUCACAACAAACAAGAGCAGCAAGUUUGGAUAUACUAUACCUCAUCAGGUAGAUGGUUUAUCAGGACUUAAAGCUGACUAUACCUCAUAAACAUGUCCUUUCAAAGAGUCACUCAUAAACUGGAAACAACACAUCCUGCAAAGGGGAAAGUGUGGCUUACAGUUAACUUAUUUAUUCCUACCUAACAUACUACAGACGUCCUGAUUUUUACAGCAUUACAUGUUUUGAACCUUUUCAGUAAAGUGGAGGUUUCUCAUUUCAGCCUAACUGCUGUUAAUCUGUUCCAAAUGUUAACAUUGCAAAUAAGGUCUGGUUACCAUCUCUGCCCCAAGUUGAUAAUAGGAACAGAGCUGAUCAGCAUCUGGUUUAGUUCAGAGUACAACUUGCUGCCUAAUGUUGCAGAAUCUGGGUUGGAAGAUUGUUGCAUUUCAUGAACACCACAAAAAAAAUUAACUAACAACACUCACAUGCAGUCAUGUGUCAUUAUUUAUUGCUCUAUAGGCUUGCUAAAGAUGGAAUAUCGCAUUACUAAUUUUGACAAAUUCCAGCGCACAUAAACAGGCCAAAACCUCUUAACAUAAAUUAUACCAGAGCUGCCUAAUGGCAAUUUUUACAAAAAAUCAGUCACUUACUUUCCAGACUUGUGAUGGAAAAAAAGUUUAAAAAUAUGAAAAAAAUGUUAGAUCAGUUUCUUAUUUUAUCAUGUACUUUAAACACUUGACUUGUUACGUGUCCCAUUCAUUGCAAGGUACUUGGCAGUGCAGCACUUUCAAUAUAGAGAAAACUAUGAUUAUAAAUUCAAAUGGUCUCAGUCUGAUUUAAAAAAUAUAAAUUAGUAUUUUAAUGGAAUAUAAUAUUUGACCUAAAACUCACACCACCAAGUUCAUGUUCAGAUCAAAAUAAAAACUCCUGCUGAGUUAAAUCAGAGCUGAAUCCAACUCUCCGUAUACAGAAUAAUUAAUCCCAGGAUUAGCUGUGACCCCUCUACCAUUCAGAACCACUUCUCAUUUUUGCCUUCAAGCCCUUUCUAUACUUCAUUCCAAAUUCCUUUACUUUGUGAUCUAUCAUUUUGCAGCUGAUCAUAUAAAAAUUCUGCUUACAACAUAUUUCAAAUACAUUUCUCUUGUUAAUCUAAAUGGCAGAUUAUCUUUUAUAAACUCAGUGAAGAUCAAAAGCUCUUGACAUGUAUAGAAAAUAAACCAUGGAUAAUUAAUAAAAGUUUUAGAUUAGCCAGACAUGCUAAUUUAUAUCCAUCAUAUUAGAUUCAUAUUAAAGUUCAGUUUGAGCAGAAAAAUUAAUAACCAUCUCAACUAUUAAAAGACCAUUUUUUAAAAUGAAUGUGUAGAAUGCUUAAAACAUCUGGAGCCAGUAUAAAAUAUAUAUGAAUUCUGCCAAAUUUACCCUACACUUUUCUGUCACUCGGAGCACUGACUGGAAUGACCCACCCGACAUAAAUUUCUUGUUACCUGUGAAAAAUUACUGGACACCGAAAUUACUUCUUUCCCCAGAAAAUUUAGCUGGCUGAUGAGCCAACUAUUAAUAUAAUAUUUAUGAAGCAGAAUAAAACUGAUAAGCACUGUAUUAAUUUCAUAGCAACACCUAUGAGCAGUGAUUUUUUGGGCAUGAGAGAUUCCAUUGAUUUUAUGUUUGAGAAAUCUGAAGCAGAAAAAGCCUAAAUUACUGAAUUGCAUCACGUUGCAGAGCCAAGCCAGUAACAAAACUCAGGGAGUGGGAGGCUGCUUCAUGCUGGUCACAGAACUAUACCAUUCCCCACAUUUGAGUGAGAUUUUUUUGUCAUUAUAUCAGAUUGAGUAACUCCUCUUCCACUGCACAAGGGAAAAUUAACUAAUCAGAGAUAAUUUCCAGCAAACUUACCUAUUUUCUGCAUACGUAUUUCACCAGAGAGAUUUUAAACUACUUAGGGGGAGAGGAAAAAAGGAAUAACCCCACACACUGAAUGACUCGAGAGAUAAGACAUGUUACUAAUAACACAAAGAACAGCAUUUACAGGUGUCUUUUACAGAAAGAUCAGCAUAGUAAGGAAACUUACCUACUCAACCCUGCUAAAAUCAUAUCAAAAACCAAAACCCACAAGCCUUAAGGAAGUAAGAAAAAUGAAGCUAUGUUUUAAGAUCUGUCUUUGCUGCAAUGGCAUGCACCUUCCUUACAAGCUCCAGUUACAUCAUUUGACCUCUAAGCUGCGUUAUGUGCUAAGUGAAUUGAUCUUUAAGAGCGUAAGAUGCAUCUGUAUGUCUGAAAGAUAGUUCACUUUAUCCAAGGCCAGUUAACACUUCAGUAGUUUACUGAUAUAUGAAGUUCACCAUGAAAGAAAGGCGAAGUGUCAAAGUACAGUUUCUUGUCAUCUUAAGCUUCCAAGAGAAGCUUGCUCCUAUGGAGUUUUCCCAUUAUUGCAACUGUCUGUGGGCUAGAGACUUGACUCUGCAACAUAAUGGUUAGGUCACUUGCUGGGAAUACAUGAAACUCAAGUUCAAAGUCUCUCUCUUAAUCAGGUAGACAACAUAAAUCCCCACCUCCUGCCACUCAGGGAAAUGACUAAAUCAUUAGGUUACUGGCAAUCCAGUGUGGAGUAAAUCUUGUGGGUAUGGCUUUUUCAGCAGUGAAAAGGUUUCUGUUUUUAUUUUUAUUAUGGUACAAAAGCAGCAGUCAAACCUCAAUUUUAUUGUAAAACAAAAUUCUUGCAUUCUAGCCAGUCCUCAGUAAUAUCACUUUCCAUUUAAAUAGUCUUCUUCACUCACGGUGUUUGUGCUCCCCUCGCUCCCACCCCCAUGGUGGCAUUGAAGUGUUGGUCCCACAGAUUCCUUUGGAUCACUGGAGACACAACAGAAAACAGACAUCCUCCUGACACUUUCAAUUCCUCUGGCUCAUUUACCUGAAAGGAUCAGGAGUAAAUGAACACAGCCAAUAUAGGGAAGUCUUCUGUUAUUUCUUGUUCACUGCCAAAGAACACACCCUCAGGUCUCACCCACCACUGAAAAGGAAACAGGACAAAACAACAGGAAAACCACCACCCAGAUGUCAUCCCUGCGUCCUCAUAUGUGUCAUGGUUGGCCACAGCACACAGACAGGAACCCUGCCCCAAAGAACCACUACAAAAGAUGUAACUGGUGGGAGGCAACAGGCAAGAGACUGUGGGAAUGGCUGAGGCAUGAAGAAAAGAGACCACGAGGCUCCUCCAGGGCCCUGCAGAGCACAGACUUUGUUACAUCUUCUCUAAUUCAAGAUCUUUAACCUCAUUAACUCCGACUAUUUCCAGUCUCUGUAGCCUUUCUUGCAUUGAUUUUGUUUAAAAUGUUGAUCUUACUGCAUUAGUCGCCAGUCACUUUCAUUGCUUUCUUGCUAUGAUUUUAGGUGCAGAUGGCCAUAUAUUAAAAGUCACUCUUCAGCUGCUUACAAACACAGAGCCAGGGCAAUUCAGACAACUAUCUGUUCUGCUUCCACUUAGGAACCUGGCAAAUAAAGGACACAAAAUAGAAGGAAAAAAAAUUGGUGCCUAAAUUUAAGAAUCAAAUCCAUGUCUAAGCACUUAAGCACUUAAAUACGUGGUCUGAUUUUCAAAAAAAAAUAGGAAUCAAAAAAGUGCCAGCAAGGCCAACUGGGAGCCGAUGACUUGGAGAAUUCCAUCCCUUAUUUUGUUGCCUAAAUAGCAAUCCAGGAAUAGGGCCCAGGAGCUCAUUUUGAACAAAAUAUUUGUAUGCAUGCUGCCUAGAGCUGGAAGGAAUAAAUUGGAUCAUUGAUCCCCUCUGAACUGGGAAAUCACAGGAAUUUUUUUAAAAAGCCCUGUUCAUGUUAUACAGGCAUUCAGAAGACUGAAUAGGACAGUUGGGCAUUGAAAAGACAUGAGAAAGACUGUUCUUAUCCUGAAGGCAGAUGUUAGAACACAGAAGGCCCAGGUGCUCUCAACCCAGAACCAGUGUAAGAUACUGCUCCUUGCGCUGACCUCAGCCACCCAACAGCCUGUCAGGCUCAAAUCCACCAUAAUUCACAUUCUGUUAUGUAGUUAGACAGCUGAAACACCGAACUUCCUUCACAGAGGGCUUUUUCUUCAGCAAACUUCACAUUAAAAAAAAAAACAGUCUAAGGAAAAAGAGACAUGCAUCUCUCGCUAGGCUUCUCUAUCCAAUUCUCUCCCAAAGUGAUGGUAUCACAUAUUGAUUUGUUCUCAAAGUUGCCUCCAAAUGACCCCAUCUACAUCUCUGCUUUACUGAGAAGAUGGUUUGUAUGUGGAAAAGCCUUGAUGUUCCUUGAAAAGACUCUGAUAAUAGGUGCAGCUGUUUCUUCCAUAUGGCUAAUCAGACUCAGAAUUACCUGAAUAUUGGAGCUUCCCAAGAGGAGUAAAUUUUCCCUAUUAGCAAAGGCUCCUUUCUAUGUCUAGGCGGUGCCUACACUUAACUAAAUCAAAGUUUACCUAAAAGCUUAUUAGAGCUUUUGGCUCCAUACAGAUAUCACAUUUCUGGGAAGUUUUGAUCAAAAAGCUUGGCAUGACUACAAUUACAAUAUUGUUACAAGUCACUAAAUGUUAUUGAUAUGCUUAAAACAGAGAUUCUGUGUUCAUUUUAUAUACAAUUUAUCUCAAUUGCAGUCAGCAAGAUUUCUCAGAGUUUUCAUCCUCCCUUCGAAUCUUUCAAAGGUAUUUCCAGCUUACAAUAAAGCCUGCUAAUAAUGGCCAAGCAGUCCGUUGAAUAAUCAUUCAAUUAAAAAAAUAAAGCAAUAACAACAUUGAUUUCAGAAUAAAACAGACACAGAAGCUAUUGACUUUAAAUACACCUAUUAAUAAUUUUUUAUGGUUUUCAUUCUUGAUUCUAACUUAAACAGAAUAAACUUCAGCAGCUGUCCAGGGAAAGAGAUACAGUUCUACAGGGUAGUUUUCUUACACCACUGCCCACCUCGUGAUCUAUCCACAUUUACACAGUUUUCAAAGUCUAAACUGAAACAAAUAUUCUUAGACGGGCAGUGACAGCUUUGAGUGUCAUAGCUGUAUUUAAUGGAAUAAAAAACACAGAGCAACUUGUCAGACACACCACUGUGUCAAGCUCAAUUACCUAAAUAAACAGAGGCAACGGUUAAUUUUACUUGCUGCUCACUUUUUUGAAACUGCUUCAGUGUUGAUUUUUGCAGUCUCUUCCCGAGAGGAUUACAUCUGCCUGGUCUAAAGUUUCACUUCCAAACAUCAUGUCCAAAACCUAAAAGCCUGCUACAGAAAAACUGUAUAAAUUUGGGAAAAGAUCCUUCAUUCUUUGGGGAAAAUUAGCCUUGAUCCUAAGAGGAACCUUAUUUAAGCAAGCUCUGUCUGCGGCACAAGCUGUGCUUCUAUUGCCAAUGCAAACAGGUCGUGACCUGCCAUGAUGGAAGCCCACAAGGAACUUUUCCCAAGUGAGCAGUCCCUCUAAAUGUGUCUUUCUCUGCUGGUAGCCUCUAAGUGGAAGCGUACGUGCUGCCCAAAUGGUAUGAGGAACCCUAACAUUAACAAGGUCGCAUUGAAAGCUGCUAAAAUACACAAGGAUGAGGAGAAAAACAUUUUUGCACUACAAUUUCAAUUUUUUUUUUUAAACACAACCUUACACCUCUCAUUAUUUAGGCAAUGCAAAAGUGCAGCACAUUUUGUCACCUUCUCCAGAGCAGGGAGCUACUGGACCUCUGCUGGCUGAUUCAAGCUGAAAAGGUGGUUCUUCCUCCCUCCAGUCAUCCCUUUGACCUUGGAUAACAGACCUCCCAUCUGGAAGUGUUUUCCCAAAGUUACUCACUCCAUGCUGUUUCACACACACACAAAAGAAAAGGCCCAGUGACUGCAGUCACCACGUCACCAAGAGUAACAGAUCUUUCAUACACUUGCACGUCACUCAGCACGGAUCACAUCCAACCUCGUCCAUUCUUUGUCAAGCCUCCACAAAAGAGCUGAGCAGACUCUGGAUAUUUAACGGGACAGGUCUGAGGCAAAGGCUUACAUGCUGACCUUUAGGUGUGCAAUGAAGCCCAUGAUGUGCAAAACCUUCAGAACCAGGAUCAAUCCAACAAACUGAUCCCUCACAAAUCUGCACCCUCACCUCCACACCUAUACCCACAGUGAAAAUGCCACAGUAUCACACCGGCAGGGAUCUUCCGCAAGACUCCAGCUGUGCAGAGGCCCAGAGGAGAAAAGUAAAACAGAGGACAGGACAGUCUUUAGUAGGAGCAAAAACCUGCGGGGAGACUCGUGCCAAGGUGCAGCCCUACUGAUGGCUGGUGGAGCUCAGGUGCUGUGCUGGGUCUCUGAGCACUGGCUCCUGAGCACUGACUCUGGAGGCUCUGGCUGUGCAGUCUUAUUUAGCCUUUUUCAGCAGGAAUGCUCACCUCUGGGAUCCCAAGUGCAGGUGAAUGGCAUGUUCUUUGCAACUUGCCAGUGGAAGCCCUACUAUUGCAUGUGGGUUAAAAGGGCCUGUAUGCUGCUUUCCAGCUCUUCUUCCUUCCCUGAUAAGCACUGAAAGGAUUGUACUGCUUGCUAUAGGGGACUUCCUCCACAGAGAGCAAAAUAAAUUCACCUGUGAAGUGCACUGAUAAAGGCUUUCCAUUCCACAUUCAGCAGCUGAAAAACAACUUUACCAGAGGUGAGUCUGGGGGGUUGGUUUUCUUUAGUUUUGUUUUGGGUUUUGUUUUGUUUUUUGGGUUUUAUUUUUGGUUUGCUGUUUAUUUUUAAGAGGCAGGUAGAUUAAUGAGCCAUUUAUUUCUGAAAGCUAGUCUCUGGCUGAAUCUAACUUCCAAUUGGUGCCUAUCAAGAGGAUCUCUAAGCUUCCAGAGUCAUUCCAGAGAAGACUUAUGACUAUUUCAAGUACUUUAUUCUCCACAUAGACUCAAGUAUCUGUAGUUAAGCAACAGUUAGUCCUAAAAUUCUAUUCAUGCACUGAACAAUGGAAGUACUAAGCAAUAUUUUGAAGCACAUUAAGUAGUAUUAAUUUUCUAGACAAAACCACACUCCAGAACUGUUCUAAUGCUCCUCCACUCUGACACCAACUUAAGGGAGGGUGGGAGUAGUCCUUUCCUGCAUACAGGGGUACGUGCACAUCACAUAGCACCAUUUCACUGGAAUCUGCAUGGUUUAGAUUUUAAUGGAGUGUUGGUUUUAGAGUUGAAUAUACAGAAGCUCUUGAGUUACAAAAAGAAUUAUUAUUGCAAACCUGACUGCAGCUACAGUUGGUGUUCUUGGAAGAUGAGAGUGCAAGUAACAAGAAGCUAAGAAAUUCAUGCCAGUAAGUCAAGUUUAAUUUGCUUUCCUUUUCCCCUCCCUUCUAAGGCUGGCUGAAAUACAAGUUCCACUGUAAAUGCAGUGACUAGCAAACAUGGAUGCCAUUAAAAAUACAGCACUGCCAAGAGGAAGUCCUCCGUUGACUAAUAACAGAGUUUCCAAUAGCAACUGCAAGAUAUUCUGGGCACUGAUCUAAAGAGAUUUAGGGAUAUAUUCUAAACAAGAUGUGCUUUUUGCAGCUACAUAAUAUGAAUUGUAUAACAUUUGGACAAAAUGUUUUUAAGUCACCAGUAACUUGCAUCACAAGGGCAGAAUCUGAGGUUUUGGUGGCUCUUCAAUGACCUUUACUUCAUUGGGUAACACUAAGCUCAUGCUAUCAAGCCCAUUAUGAAAGUACGGUCAAAAAAAUAAAGACACAAGUCCUCGCUAGACAGUCUGGCAUUGCAAAGGUCCCAAGUUUUUGCUGUCAACUGAAACAAUAUGAAAACAUAGCCUUUUAUUUUGGAAUGAGGAGACUGCAUGCUUGAUAAUAAAUUUUUUGUGUAGCAUUUGUCACUGUCAGAGCACAAUACAAAAAUAUAAUCAAGUUCAUUUGUUAAUUAAGUAACCCAUUCUUUGAAAACCUAUUUUUUAAUGCAACACAGUGUCAGUGACAUUACAAAAUGGUUUACUAGAACUGGAAAAUUACUUUUAUAAAAAUCAUAUUAUAUCACAACUUCCCUUCUCAGCAAGCUCCUUGCUUGCUGAGACUGCAUGGCAUUUCAUACAGUUAUUUCCUAUGCAGACAGAAGCUAAUUAUUUUUUUUAAUUUGAAUAUGGAAAAGACCCUCAACUUCCACUGCUUCAAUUAUAUAAUUGUAUCAGAGACUGCCCACGCAUUUUCAUAGGAGUAAUUUAUUUUACCUUUGAAGUAAACUUGAAUUUGUCAGAAAUAUUAGCAAGGUCAACUUGUAAGCUCUACUAUCUGGAAAUUAUGCCAAAAUACACUCACAAAUCAGAGUGCUAAACAGUAAUUUCAAAAGAUGAUAAGCAGUAGUGAAAAGGUUCUAAGCAGCCAAAUGACAUGAAAUUUUUCAUCAAAUCACUGAAAAUAAGAAACAGAACAAAUUUUCUUACAGAGAAACUGAUAUAUUACAUAACCAAGUCUGACAUUGUUAUAUUAAAAGUUGCCUCUGAAUAAAACAUGUACAACACAUUCCAGCAGCACAGAUGCCAGCUACACAAAAAUACUGCACUGCUGUUUUUUAAUACCUUGGAGGUAAAAUGUUAUGCACUGCUUCAGUCUUCAGUACAGCUUCACACCAUUUUUAAUUUUAUAAUGCAACCAAGUUACAUGUGAUGUAGGUAAAAGAGAAAAAAAACACCUAUGAGGGCCUAAAACUCUAGAUGGCACACUCCUACAGUCAAAGACUACAAGUCUGAAAAGAAAUACACAGGCUUACAUAUAUUUCCUUGGUUUUCCACCCAAAAUAUAUAUAAUCUAGCCACAAAUACUGUUCUCAGAUCUGUUUGUGAAUUAUUAUUAUAAAAGGAUCUGCACUAUUCCCGCAGGUUAGAAUUGGAUGAUUUAACAUAAUACUAUGCAGUAUUUGCAGUUUUGUAUUUCAACAGUAGUGAAUUAGGUUAAUUUAAAAUUCCACAUAGAAUUAAUUCCCAUGGCAUAGCACCCAUCCUGUCACACUAUCAUACUCCAACCUACUUUAUGGACAACAGGAGUGAGAUCUUAGGUGUUUCUUAAAGGCUCAGUCUCAGGCAACAACCAGGUCAGUUACACACAUUUCCAAGCUUUGAACUAACAAAGAAAGUUUUUGUUGCCGCUUUAAGAAGGAGCUCAGCUUUGCUUCACUACAUCGA